rnacentral:rRNA from 1 species
GACGAACGCUGGCGGCGUGCUUAACACAUGCAAGUCGAACGGAAAGGCCUGCUUUCCCUUGUGGAUUGCGGGUACUCGAGUGGCGAACGGGUGAGUAACACGUGAGUGAUCUGCCCCCAACUUGGGUAUAAGCCUGGGAAACUGGGUCUAAUUCCCGAUAGGACUGCAGGGUGGUGCCUGUGGUGGAAAACGAUUUUCUAGUGGUUGGGGAUGAGCUCGAGGCCUAUCAGCUUGUUGGUGGGGUAAUGGCCUACCAAGGCGGCGACGGGUAGCCGGCCUGGGAGGGUGGACGGCCACAUUGGGACUGGGAUACGGCCCAGACUCCUACGGGAGGCAGCAGUGGGGAAGAUAGCACAAUGGGCGGAAGCCUGAUGCAGCGACGCCGCGUGGGGGAUGACGGCCUUCGGGUUGUAAACUCCUUUCGACCGCGAGGAAGCCACCUGGUUGGAAGGGUGGUGACGGUAGUGGUAGAAGAAGCACCGGCUAACUACGUG